AUUGAACGCUGGCGGCAUGCUUUACACAUGCAAGACGAACGGUAACAGGGAGCUUGCUCCGCUGACGAGUGGCGAACGGGUGAGUAAUGCGCCGGAACGUGCCGAGUAGUGGGGGAUAACGCAGCGAAAGUUGUGCUAAUACCGCAUACGUACUGAGGUAGAAAGUGGGGGACCUUCGGGCCUCACGCUAUUCGAGCGGCCGACGUCUGAUUAGCUAGUAGGUGAGGUAAAGGCUCACCUAGGCGACGAUCAGUAGCGGGUCUGAGAGGAUGAUCCGCCACACUGGGACUGAGACACGGCCCAGACUCCUACGGGAGGCAGCAGUGGGGAAUUUUGGACAAUGGGCGAAAGCCUGCUCCAGCCAUGCCGCGUGUCUGAAGAAGGCCUUCGGGUUGUAAAGGACUUUUGUCGGGGAGGAAAUCCCCAGCGCUAAUACCGCUGGGGGAUGACAGUACCUGAAGAAUAAGCACCGGCUAACUACGUGCCAGCCGCCGCCGUAA
rnacentral:rRNA from 1 species